CUAGCAACAGGCCGACUUCGAUGUGUAUAUAAUAAGUGUUCCGCCAUUGCGUAAUUGCCAAAGUGGUAUGCCAAAAGUUCACGCCGUAAAGCGCUGGCCUGAGAAACGCUCGGUGCAUCAGGACAUGAAUCAAGGAAACAUGAAGAACAAGUUCAACUGCAAAAAUAUCUGCAAUUGAAGAGUUAACGAGAAUGAAGUUUCCAACUGCCUAUUAUCCCGCAUUUUCCUUGAGAAUGCUGGGAAAGGGGUACACAUCUACCGGCAGUGUGAUUGGCAUAAAAUAGAGAACAAUGUACGGCCUUUGCCACACAGAAGCCCCAGGUCUAGUUCAAGCGGAGCCCCAGGAGAAAAAAGAAAGAAAAAAGAAAAGAAGAAGAAACGAAAUGGAUCUCAGGCGCCAAUGCCAUGCUUGGCGAGAAGUUGUGAAGAAAUUGAACAUGCGCUCUUGCUCUUAGCCCCGGAUGAACGCAAGAGAAAAAGAGAUUCCUGCCAGAUUUGACAGAUCUAGAUAAGCUUUUGCUCCUGUAGUAUGUGGAUUUCAAUAGAGAAGGAUGGGAAGGUCGGGUAAAACUCGUUUAAAAUUGAUUCAUGCUCUACCUUCUUACUGCUUCAUUUCAAAGUAACGGCGGGGUGUCGCAUGGGGGGAGCACCAAGCGAAAGAGAGG
rnacentral:sRNA from 1 species